AGAGAGAGACAUGCGCGCAUAUCAAUAAGCGGAGGAAAAGAAACUAACAAGGAUUCCCUUAGUAACGGCGAGUGAAGCGGGAAGAGCUCAAAUUUGAAAUCUUCAAGGUUUUACCUUGACGAAUUGUAGUUUAAAGAAGUGUUUUCUGCUGAAGUUUUGGUAAAAGUUCUUUGGAAUAGGACAUCAUAGAGGGUGAGAAUCCCGUAUUUGACCAUUAUUUUCAGCUUUGUGAUACACUUUCAAAGAGUCGGAUUGUUUGGGAAUGCAGUCCAAAGUGGGUGGUAAAUUUCAUCUAAAGCUAAAUAUUGGCGAGAGACCGAUAGCGAACAAGUACCGUGAGGGAAAGAUGAAAAGAACUUUGAAAAGAGAGUUAAACAGUACGUGAAAUUGUCAAAAGGGAAGCGUUUGACACCAGUGUUGUUUUCUCGAAAAUCAAUUAAAAAUGGCUCGAUUUUGUAUUGUUCGAGACCUUAAAAGCUCACUGUACAUUUUUCGUGUCUUUUUUAAUGCACUUUUCGUUUAACAAGUCAACAUCAGUUUCUUUUGUUGUAAAAGGGUCAUUGGAAGGUGGCUUUCUUUUCGGAGAAAGUGUUUAUAGCCCUUGGCCUCUGCAAUCCGGAGAGACUGAGGUCUGCAGCGUAGACUCUUCGGGGUUAGAUACAUUUGUGCUAAGUUAUAGCUUUUUAUAGACAACUUGUUGACUAUAAUUAGUCUUGUAGCUUACUCGCUUAUGCUAUUUUACCUACGCUUAGGAUGUUGAAGAUGUAGCACAUCAU
rnacentral:rRNA from 1 species